UACGUAGGGUGCAAGCGUUAAUCGGAAUUACUGGGCGUAAAGCGUGCGCAGGCGGUUGUGCAAGAACGAUGUGAAAUCCCCGGGCUUAACCUGGGAAUGGCAUUGGUGACUGCACGGCUAGAGUGUGUCAGAGGGGGGUAGAAUUCCACGUGUAGCAGUGAAAUGCGUAGAGAUGUGGAGGAAUACCGAUGGCGAAGGCAGCCCCCUGGGAUAACACUGACGCUCAUGCACGAAAGCGUGGGGAGCAAACAGG
rnacentral:rRNA from 1 species